rnacentral:rRNA from 1 species
AGUCGAACGGCAGCACGGACUUCGGUCUGGUGGCGAGUGGCGAACGGGUGAGUAAUGUAUCGGAACGUGCCUAGUAGCGGGGGAUAACUACUACAGCGUAGCUAAUACCGCAUAACUGCCCUUCGGGGGAAAGCGGGGACUCGGGCCUCGUGCACUAUUAGGAGCGGCCGAUAUCGGAUUAGCUAGUUGGUGGGGUAACGGCUCACCAAGGCGACGAUCCGUAGCUGGUUUGAGAGGACGACCAGCCACACUGGGACUGAGACACGGCCCAGACUCCCAUGGGAGGCAGCAGUGGGGAAUUUUUGGGACAAUGGGGAAACCCCGAUCCAAAGCCAUCCCGCGUGUGCGAUGAAGGCCUUCGGGUUGUAAAGCACUUUUGGCAGGAAGUGAACGGCACGGGAUAAUACCCCGUGCAACUGACGGUACCUGCAGAAUAAGCACCGGCUAACUACGUGCCAGCAGCCGCGGUAAUACGUAGGGUGCAAGCGUUAAUCGGAAUUACUGGGCGUAAAGCGUGCGCAGGCGGUUCGGAAAGAAAGAUGUGAAAUCCCAGAGCUUAACUUUGGAACUGCAUUUUUAACUACCGAGCUAGAGUGUGUCAGAGUGGGAGGGUGAAUUCCGCGUGUAGCAGGAAAUGCGUAGAUAUGCGGAGGAACACCGAUGGCGAAGGCAGCCUCCUGGGGAUGACGACUACGCUCAUGCACGAAAGCGUAUGCGGGGAGCAAACAGGAUUAGAUACCCCGGUAGUCCACGCCCUAAACGAUGUCAACUAGCUGUUGGGGCCUUCGGGCCUUGGUAGCGCAGCGCUAACGCGUGAAGUUGACCGCCCAGAGUACGGUCGCAAGAUUAAAACUCAAAGGAAUUGACGGGGACCCGCCAAGCGGUGGAUGAUGUGGAUUAAUUCGAUGCAACGCGAAAAACCUUACCUACCCUUGACAUGUCUGGAAUCCCGAAGAGAUUUGGGAGUGCUCGCAAGCAGGAACCGGAACACAGGUGCUGCAUGGCUGUCGUCAGCUCGUGUCGUGAGAUGUUGGGUUAAGUCCGGCACAACGAGCGCAACCCUUGUCAUUAGUUGCUACGAAAGGGCACUCUAAUGAGACUGCCGGUGACAAACUGGAGGAAGGUGGGGAUGACGUCAAGUCCUCAUGGCCCUUAUGGGCAGGGCUUCACACGUCAUACAAUGGUCGGGACAGAGGGUCGCCAACCCGCGAGGGGGAGCCAAUCCCAGAAACCCGGUCGUAGUCCGGAUCGCAGUUCGCAACUCGACUGGGUGUGAAGUCGGACCGCUAGUAAUCGCGGAUCAGCAUGUCGCGGUGAAUACGUUCCCGGGUCUUGUACACACCGCCCGUCACACCAUGGGAGUGGGUUUUACCAGAAGUAGUUAGCCUAACCGUAAGGAGGGCGAUUACCACGGUAGGAUUCAUGACUGGGGUGAAGUCGUAACAAGGUAA